AUUGAACAGAUUUCAGAUUUAUGACUAUGAUUCCAUUUUGUUUUGUAUUUUCUGCACUUCAUUUUUUGUAUAUGAAUGGUGUAUGUGAUUACAAGUUAGAAGGGCUCUCGGUCCUUCAUGGUUUGGGAUGAUUGUCAUGGCCAAGGCUCCAGUUUGGUUCGUGACAAACUUGGUAUCAGAGCACGAUUCAUGGUGCCAGGGUGUCUGUGAAAUCGUACUAGGUAAAGUCUUGUUU
rnacentral:lncRNA from 1 species